rnacentral:tRNA from 1 species
GCCGGAGUGGCGGAAUUGGUAGACGCGUACGCUUCAGGUGCGUAUGUUGAAAGACGUGGAGGUUCGAGUCCUCUCUCCGGCA